GUGGAAACACUGGUUCCUGUGCGAUCAUCAAAGUUAAGCAAUAUUGAGUCUGGUCAGUAUCUAGAUGGGUAACCACUUUGGAAUACCAGGUACUGUAAG